GGCAGCCGCACUCGGGAACCUGUGUGAGCACGCUCGCAAAAGUUGCGCAAGCGCGGAAGGGGUGGCCCCCAAUCUGGGGCGAAAGUCCCAGAACUAACAAGAGGGAUGGGGAAGUUAAUGGUUGACAAGGACCAGGAAAUCAUGGGAACCCUGGAGAAAAUGUUACGGCCUCCUUCGAGCCGGAAUCGAACCAGCGACCUAAGGAUGUCUCCUGCCGGGGAGUGAACUACAGUCCUCCGCUCUACCAGCUGAGCUAUCGAAGGGACACAAGGGCAGUUCUCGCCCCUUGACCCCGAACAGGUCUGUGGGGAGUUCGGCAAGAACAAACGGAACUGAGCAUGCGCACUUCCCAGGCCGCGCAACUUUCCCGGCCGCAAGUCGCUUUACGCACGCGCACAACCUCAGCUCCGCCUCACUGGCCCCCCCAUCUGCCAAUCUUCGGGAGGCUCGGGUGCUCGUCGGUCACGUGGCCUGCCUGUGGCACCCGGGUGACUGGUGAGGGCUGUCCCAUGCUGUCAUCCCGAAAGCCCCCACGGCCCCUCUCAUCGACGGGCCAGUGGCGCAAUGGAUAACGCGUCUGACUACGGAUCAGAAGAUUGUAGGUUCGACUCCUGCCUGGCUCGAGGUUUUUGUCACCUCGCCUUUUAGACCCAAACGCGUCUGAAUGGAACCCAGGACCCGGGAACACGCGAGCCCCAAAGAGCAACAGUGGAGUUUGCAGCUCUGCAGAGCCGUGUGCACAAAGCCCUGGCCCCUGCCUCUGCUCUUCUCAGCCCUUGAUGUGGAGACUGAACCCCUCCAUCACUCCCCCUCCAAACACAAUGCAGGGACACUCACCAAGAAUACUAAAGUUGUCUCUUUUUUAAAAAAACUGACUUCAAGGUCUAGCCAUUGAACCUGAGCAUGUGGACGCUUUUCCCGUGAUACAAUCAGCAUAGAAGUGUGUUGCCUCCACAAAGCUGCUGGGCACUACUCCAGAACGAUGGAAAGGAAGACCCAAGUCCCGGACCUGAUGGAGCACUCGGUUUGGAGAGGCAGACAGACGAUAACACAUGUUGUACACUCAACGGAGCUGAGGGCCAAAGAGAGAGGUGAGGCA